UUUUAACGAUCCCAGCCACAGCGGUUUAUCCUCGGUCCGAUGUUUACCGUAAGUAUUAAGCAGCGCAUGGGCUUC
rnacentral:antisense_RNA from 1 species